GACGAACGCUGGCGGCGUGCUUAACACAUGCAAGUCGAACGGAAAGGCCCUGCUUGCCGGGUACUCGAGUGGCGAACGGGUGAGUAACACGUGGGUGAUCUGCCCUGCACUUCGGGAUAAGCCUGGGAAACUGGGUCUAAUACCGGAUAGGAGCCAUUUUUAGUGUGAUGGUUGGAAAGUUUUUUCGGUGUAGGAUGAGCUCGCGGCCUAUCAGCUUGUUGGUGGGGUAAUGGCCUACCAAGGCGGCGACGGGUAGCCGGCCUGAGAGGGUGGACGGCCACAUUGGGACUGAGAUACGGCCCAGACUCCUACGGGAGGCAGCAGUGGGGAAUAUUGCACAAUGGGCGCAAGCCUGAUGUAGCGACGCCGCGUGGGGGAUGACGGCCUUCGGGUUGUAAACUCCUUUCGCUAGGGACGAAGCUUUUUGUGACGGUACCUAGAUAAGAAGCACCGGCUAACUACGUG
rnacentral:rRNA from 1 species